ensembl:lncRNA
GGGUUCUGGCCAAUUGCCUACAACUCUGAAGCGACCCAAGGUAUGCUGAGACCUCCGCUGGUCAUCCCUGGUGCCCACCACUCAGUCAGAGACAUGAUGAGAGGUAUCUGGAGGGGAGAAUGGUACUGGGCCCAAGCCCCCAGCACUCUGGCCAGAGGAGGCAGAGGCAGAGCCCCACACAUACUGCCACAUGGGUCCCCUAGUGGUGGAGACCUGAGGCAACCCAAGCAGGUGUGGGGAGAGACCGCGUCUGUGGCUGCAUCUUCAUGGCGCCUGGGAACUGGUGCUGGGCUCCCACAGGCCUCUCUGGAGGCUACGUCCAGAAAGAGGCCAGGGCCAACAUUCAAGAGGCCACGUGUGUGAAGCUGCGCUACUGCAGAGGGGAAGGUUCGGAGACACUGCUUACCUGCCAGGCCUCUGAGGCUCCUCCCUGCAGGCUGUGGUCGCCCAGGAACAGAAGAUACUGUUGACCCAGAGCACAGGAGCGGGGGUCUGUAACCUCCCCCAGGUCACACCAGGCCUCCAAGCCCAGCAGCACUGACGCUGGUGGAAAAAGUCAGGUGGACACAGGCCUGGCUGCUGCCUGCUCUACCACGUAUUGGGGUGACUUACCAAGAAAGAGUGAGGUUGUGGAGAACGAACAAUCAGGGCCCCCAGGACACACGCCUCUAGGGACUCCUGCCUUUGCUUACCCCCGUCCUGUGUGGACGCCAGGCUUGGUCCUGUGAUUCGGGGCAGCCAGUUCCACACCAACAGUGGCUCCAUAAGCACGUGCUCACGGGUUUGUCCUCGCAGAGAAGCUCAGCUGCACAGCUCAGUGUUAACGCCGUGUGGAGAGAAGCCCAGAGAACAAGAGGCCUCUGGGCCUCUCCACUGGGGUCAAGCUCCCAGCUGCAAGCAGCUUCACAGGAGGGGAGGUGGUCAGCCCCGGGGAGCAGAACCGCCCAGCUGAAGCCUGUCAACCACAGAAUCACGGGAAACAAUAAAGUGUUGCUGUAUGAGUCUGAGCUUUCAGAUGGCGUCUCACCCAAGCAACAGAUAACUCAAACAGAGGCACUGAAGCCUGGACCCCCCACCAGAGGAGAGGAACCUUACCCAUCCAUCUCAAGAAAAUGACUUACUCCUGGGGCCUCAGUCAACUGCCCAAGAAUGAAGUCAGCAGGCGUUAAUGAAGCCACAGUGAGGAUUCCCAACUACCCGGAUCAGUUUUGCCCCUCCUGGGAAGAGAUCCUGUUUCUGUCCACCAAUAGAAACCAAGAAAAUAGCUCUGGCCAUCUUGUGGAAGGAGGCAGGCUUUGCUGAACAAGCUGAAUGCAGCCACUCAACAAAGCCAAGCCCUCAGCUGGGAGCAGCCCCCCCUUCCAGGUGGGGAUGCCUUAACCAGCCCCACUGGCUUGUCAUCAUCUCCCUUUCUCUCAAAGCGGCCUGAUUGGCCCGCAGAGGACUUUUCCGCCUGGAGAGUCAGAGUGAGACUCUGAGCAAGGGCUCAGAGGGUGCUGAGGAGCAGAUUUGGGGACGGAGUGCUACUUGGGAGCUUGGACAGUGCAGAGGCCCAGCCCACACUGGCUCAGCAGAGCUCAGCCUGAACCCUUCUGCCUGGGGGAGGAGAGACAGUCACUCCAACGCAAAAAAAUGAGGAGAGCAUCUCUCCCCCCACAUCCCUGGCCUCUGUCCUCUUAAAUGGCUGCAGAGAGGAUGGAAAAGUGUCCUUGGUGGUGAUAUCAUCGGUGUCAUCAUGACUCUAGGACUCCCGACUAGAGCCACUGCCUUCCUAGACUCCAGCCCCACCUCGCCCAGUGUCUACCAGGCCCAGGCAAGGAGGGAAGGUCAAAGGGGUGGAAGGAAGCAUGAUGGAUGAGGCACUUAAGGAA